UAUAGCUCAUCAUCUACUUUUUCCUAUUUUAUUCGCUUCGUUCAUCCGAUCCGACUCGUUUAUUUUGUUCUCGGAUUUAAACUAACCAAAUCAGUUCAUUUUGAGAUAUGGAAGGCCGCCUCCUCUCGGUUCAGUCCAGGCAUGACCGUACCGAUUUUUCUCGCACUUUCAAAUACACUCGUUCUUGAUCGUGAGGCAUCUAACAGAGGAGGACUACGCGUUAACAAGAGCUGCUAUCUAUAAGUUUUCUUUUUCUUUCUGAAUUAUUUGUUCUCAUUUCAAUUAUUAAAAGCUUGUAGUUACUUCGUGUGUCAUGAGAUCCAUUCUAGGCUUCUAGUUACAUGAAAUAUGGUAAGAGCUUUAGAUUGUAAUGUAGAUGCCAACUACAUGUUUUGUUUGAGCAGAUUGUUGAACUCAUCAGGCUCCAUUUGUCUGGUCACGUGCUCGGGGCUUGCUUCAUGUGAUGUUCAAAAACCAGUCCAAAAUUUGUUUGAGAGAGAGAGAGAGAGAGAGAGAGAGAGAGAAAUCUGCCUUAAUGGUUUUAUUUUGGAAUCAGAGCACAUAAAAAGCAGCAGAAAAUUUAGGUUUUAUUCACCAUUUUGAAGCCAGUAAACACCAUUUUGAAUCACCUUUAUGUUAUUCUUCAGCUAUCAUAUCCCAAUAAAAACAGAACGAAUCAGAUCAUUAUGUAACUCUCAGUUUUGCCCUCAGCAAUGUGCCAGCAUUCUUCCAAUUUUCUGUGGGGAAUUUUUUGCGGUGUCUUUUGUUUGGUAUCCUCAUCUGUGAUUGUACGCAACAAUCAGAUCUGCUCUUUGUAUCCUCAUCUACGGUCAUAUCCUUGUGAUUAUAGCAGGAGAAUCCUCAUCUAUAAUCCUAUCCACAUCUAUGAAGCAACAGUCAGAUCAUAUCCUCUCUAUGAUCGUAUCCUUAUGGUCAUAACAUGAGUAUUUUCUUGACAUGGAUUGACUUGAUUUUGAUCUGAACUGUGUUAACCCACAAAAGGUGUUUAGUUUUAACAUUUUUCCUGUUUUGACUUUAUGAGCACGCUUAAACCAUUAAUUUUUAUCACAUUACAGGAAGCUUGGUGGUGAGGAUGGUCUUUCUUCCCUUUGAAGAGUUCAUAUGCUACCUUUGCAAGGACAAUAUUCAGAUAGAAGCAGGAAGUUGGGAAAUUGCCUUUCAGAGGCCCUGAAGUUGGUUAUAUUUAUUGAUUGUUGUAUGGUUGGAAAUAGACGGAUGGAGAAGUAUCAACAGCCCCCGGUAUGAAUGAUUGAAUGAUGCUAUAUAUCUCUUUCUGAUAGAGAAGCUAGCUUGACCCCAAAAGGGAUAGGAAUGGAAUGGAAGUUUUGAUGUGGGCAAGAAAAUGAGAGCAAACUGAGAGAGUGGUGAGUGUCAAGUCAAACAUCAGCAGUGAGUGCACGCAACGUUACAGUAUGUUUCUGUGGCAAGAAUGGAAAUAGGGGUCCCUUUAUGGCAGGGUUUCUUUUCCAAUCCACACCACCUUUUUCUUAACCAAUCUUUGUUGUCUUUGUGCCUUCAAAUUUUUUUCCUCAUCAUUCUCUCAAGGACCCCAACAACCACGCUUAUUUUUUCAACUUUCUAUUACGGAAUGUUUGCUGGAUCUCUCUGUUUAUUCCUCUUUCUUUUUUUUUCUUUUUUUUGGGCCUUCCUGAUUCCUACAUUUGUUUGCUUUGCACCUUAGAUUAUAUACACAUAGGUCCUUGAUUAUUCGUGUCCAAACACCUCAUUAAUAUUG